GGCGAACGCUGGCGGCAGGCUUAACACAUGCAAGUCGAACGCCCCGCAAGGGGAGUGGCAGACGGGUGAGUAACACGUGGGAACGUACCCUUUGGUUCGGAAUAACUUGGGGAAACUCAAGCUAAUACCGGAUAAGCCCUUAUGGGGAAAGGUUUACUGCCGAAGGAUCGGCCCGCGUCUGAUUAGCUAGUUGGUGAGGUAAUGGCUCACCAAGGCGACGAUCAGUAGCUGGUCUGGGAGGAUGAUCAGCCACACUGGGACUGAGACACGGCCCAGACUCCUACGGGAGGCAGCAGUGGGGAAUAUUGGACAAUGGGGGCAACCCUGAUCCAGCCAUGCCGCGUCAGUGAUGAAGGCCUUAGGGUUGUAAAGCUCUUUUACCCCGGACGAUAAUGACUGUACCGGGAGAAUAAGCCCCGGCUAACUUCGUGCCAGCCGCCGCAGUAA
rnacentral:rRNA from 1 species